rnacentral:rRNA from 1 species
GAUUAACGCUGGCGGCGUGCAUAACACAUGCAAGUCGAACGAUGAAACUUAGUAGACUUCUUCGGAAAGACACUAAGCGGCUUAGUGGCGAACGGGUGAGUAACGCGUGAGUAACCUGCCUUACACAAGGGGAUAGCCUUUGGAAACGAAGAAUAAUACCCUAUAAAACUAUAAAAGCACAUGCUAGAAUGGUCAAAGUGCUAGCGGUGUAAGAUGGACUUGCGUCUGAUUAGCUAGUUGGUGAGAUAAAAGCUCACCAAGGCAACGAUCAGUAGCCGGCUUGAGAGAGUGUACGGCCACAUUGGGACUGAGACACGGCCCAGACUCCUACGGGAGGCAGCAGUGGGGAAUUUUGCACAAUGGGGGAAACCCUGAUGCAGCGACGCCGCGUGAUUUAGAAGGCCUUCGGGUUGUAAAAAUCUUUUGUAUAGGAAGAAAAUGACAGUACUAUACGAAUAAGGUCCGGCUAAUUACGUG